rnacentral:lncRNA from 1 species
AUAAAAAUAAUGCAUUGUAUGCCGGAAGGGAUAAAUCUGGGGCUGAGUACAAGCAAAACAAGACCAAAGGAAGCUACCUGAGCAGGUAUUCCAGAUACUCAUGUCAUACACCAAGGUUGUACCAGUGCCCCUUUCUCUGUGACACAUCCAUCCACUGGAAACUUUCGUACAACUAGCUGAAAGAAGAGAAACAUCCUAUUUCAUGUCACUGGAGCCCUAAUGAUCGCAGCCAUUUCAGGAAAUGCCAUCAAUUACAGUGAGGAGCUCAUUCAGAAGUGAAAGAUGAGUUCCAUUCUCUGUUACUUAGAGGACAAUAGAUUAUAUUGGAUGUAGAUGAAGUUUGGGCAGAAUCAGGGAUCAAUGGCUCCAUCUAAAUUGUUGCACCAAAACACAGACAUACACCUGCUUUUAGAUUUGAAGAGUGAAUCCUCUCUGGAAAAUGUAGCAACUACUCAAAAAAGGUUGGAGGACCAACACUUCUAAGAAGCAGGAGGAACACAAUUAUUUCUGGAAAGAGUAUUACACUCAGUAUUCUGCAUUUCAUAUGGCAUUUCAAAGUCCUGAGAAUGACUCUCCGUAGUCUUCUAUGUACUAAUUAAACAUGAACAUGUGGUAAACAACAUGGACUAUUCCAGUGGACAGAAAGCGUCAAGUUAAAAUGUUUAAGUGCCCCAUAUUUUUCUAAGUAUUCUUAUCCAGUUGGUCUGACUGGUCAUUAUCUGUUUUGUAAAACUUCCCAAACAACUCAUCAAUAUUUAAAUAGCUAUCCAAAUUAUAAACUUCAAAUAGCAGAAUCCAAAUGUCAUUUAUGCAUAAUUCAAAAGAACUUUGCUGAAAACAAUCUUUGGAUUACAAUUGCUCUCUAAUCCACCUCUUGAAUUUCUACAUAAGAAUUCAAUGCCAAUGCAAUUCAAAUCAAUUCAUUCAUGGUUGAUGUUAAAACUUCCUUUAAGAGGAUAGUAUGGCAGAAACAAAACUGAAUUUGAA